CAAAGGUGAUUUCCGGUGGCGGAUGGGCAUGCGUCGCAUUAGUUAGUUGGCGGUGUAACGGACCACCAAGACGACGAUGCGUAGGGGUUCUGAGAGGAAGGUCCCCCACACUGGUACUGAGACACGGACCAGACUCCUACGGGAGGCAGCAGUGAGGAAUAUUGGUCAAUGGGCGGGAGCCUGAACCAGCCAAGUCGCGUGAGGGAUGACGGCCCUAUGGGUUGUAAACCUCUUUUGCCGGGGAGCAAAGUGCCGCACGUGUGCGGUUUGGAGAGUACCCGGAGAAAAAGCAUCGGCUAACUCCGUGCCAGCAGCCGCGGUAAUACGGAGGAUGCGAGCGUUAUCCGGAUUUAUUGGGUUUAAAGGGUGCGUAGGCGGACGCUUAAGUCAGCGGUAAAAUUGCGGGGCUCAACCUCGUCGAGCCGUUGAAACUGGGUGCCUUGAGUGGGCGAGAAGUACGCGGAAUGCGUGGUGUAGCGGUGAAAUGCAUAGAUAUCACGCAGAACUCCGAUUGCGAAGGCAGCGUACCGGCGCCCAACUGACGCUGAAGCACGAAGGCGUGGGUAUCGAACAGGAUUAGAUACCCUGGUAGUCCACGCAGUAAACGAUGAAUGCUAGUUGUCCGGGGCGAUUGAGUUCUGG
rnacentral:rRNA from 1 species